GAUAAAGUGUAGAAUGCCUUUGAUCGGCGAAGCAAUAGGCAUACCGUCAGUUUCAACAUUAAAUGCACCAUAGCAAGAUAAAGACGGUGUCCGCACAGGUUUCAAAAUGAGCUUAUGAUUAUAUCAUCGCCAUCUUCGCCUGAAAAAUCGCACGCAAACAUCUGUUGAAAAACUCUUGAUAUCCUCUGCCAUUUAAACGCCAAAUGAGUACUCUCAUUACCCG
rnacentral:lncRNA from 1 species